rnacentral:rRNA from 1 species
UACGGAAGGCAGCAGUGGGGAAUAUUGCACAAUGGGCGCAAGCCUGAUGCAGCCAUGCCGCGUGUAUGAAAAAGGCCUUCGGGUUGUAAAGUACUUUCAGUCGUGAGGAAGGUGUUAAGGUUAAUAACCUUAGCAAUUGACGUUAGCGACAGAAGAAGCACCGGCUAACUCCGUGCCAGCAGCCGCGGUAAUACGGAGGGUGCGAGCGUUAAUCGGAAUUACUGGGCGUAAAGGGCACGCAGGCGGUUAAUUAAGUUGGAUGUGAAAUCCCCGGGCUUAACCUGGGAAUGGCAUUCAAGACUGGUUAGCUAGAGUCUUGUAGAGGGGGUUAGAAUUCCAUGUGUAGCGGUGAAAUGCGUAGAGAUGUGGAGGAAUACCGGUGGCGAAGGCGGCCCCUGGACAAAGGCUGACGCUCAUGUGCGAAAGCGUGGGGAGCAAAC